ACUCCUACGGGAGGCAGCAGUGGGGAAUUUUGGACAAUGGGCGAAAGCCUGAUCCAGCCAUGCCGCGUGCAGGAUGAAGGCCUUCGGGUUGUAAACUGCUUUUGUACGGAACGAAACGGCCUUUUCUAAUAAAGAGGGCUAAUGACGGUACCGUAAGAAUAAGCACCGGCUAACUACGUGCCAGCAGCCGCGGUAAUACGUAGGGUGCAAGCGUUAAUCGGAAUUACUGGGCGUAAAGCGUGCGCAGGCGGUUAUGUAAGACAGUUGUGAAAUCCCCGGGCUCAACCUGGGAACUGCAUCUGUGACUGCAUAGCUAGAGUACGGUAGAGGGGGAUGGAAUUCCGCUUGUAGCAGUGAAAUGCGUAGAUAUGCGGAGGAACACCGAUGGCGAAGGCAAUCCCCUGGACCUGUACUGACGCUCAUGCACGAAAGCGUGGGGAGCAAACAGGAUUAGAAACCCCGGUAGUCCCAUGAU
rnacentral:rRNA from 1 species